GCCGCCGUGGUGAAAUGGUAGACACGAGGGACUUAAAAUCCCUUGACCCUUUAUCGGGUCAUGCUGGUUCAAUUCCAGCCGGCGGCA
rnacentral:tRNA from 1 species